rnacentral:lncRNA from 1 species
AAGUAAUGUCACCACCUGGAAUUUUGGAGUUUUGAAGCUUUGAACCUUUGCAUUUCAUUUGCAGCUUAUCACCUGGCAGAAAAGGCAGGUGAAAUGUGCACCAGAGAACAAGUCACUCUGGAGAGAGUGCUCGGAAGGGGGUGAGCCAUACAGGUUUAUUCUUCUCCCAUCGCUACUAACUGGGAGACCUGUGAGUCCACCAAGAAAAGGAAGGGAAAAAAUCUGCAGCAGCAUUUUGAGACAGAUGAUCAGUAUCAGCAGCAGCAGUAGCAGCAGCAGCACCACCACCACCACCAUCACUCCCCCACCACCAUCAUCACUGAAAGCAUUUCCUUGUGUCUGCCCAAAGAACUGAGGUAGGUGUUAGGAAUAGAAUGUCUGUGUUUUUUUUCUUUCCCCUCAUGAAUCACACCUUUCGAGGAUGUGUUGGGAUUAUGAGGUCUAGUUGCUAAUGUCCCCUGGAUGUUGUAGAGUUCAGAUAGAUAACUGC